CUUGUCGUUUAAUUGCUAUUUUAGGAGGGAUAUGAUAAUUCCAGUGCAUCAGCACAGAGCUACAUGGCAAAAUGAACAAUUUCAAAAUCUUGUUAGAAAUCUCCCAGAAAAGCAAUGUGUUUGUGUGCAUGACUUUAGUGAAAAUUACAGGUGUUCCGAGCUUACUGAGAUUCAAAGUGCUUACUUUCAAAAAACCGAAGUGUCGGUCCAUGUAACUAUUCUACAUAGACAUGUGCAUCGCUAUAAUACGAUGGUGUUGAUAGUUCAGAAGACUUUCCUGAAAUUAUCACGGAACAAUUUUUCGUUAUAAGCCCAGACUUAGUUCAUGAUCAAUACUUUGUUCACCAAGUCCGAAAUUAUAUAGCGAAAUAUUUACAGUCGAUUUCAUAUUCAGUAGAAACAAUGCACGAGUUUACUGACGGGUGUGCAGCCCAGUAUAAGAGCAGACACUGUUUCGGAGAUAUUAGUCAAACAAGCGACGACUUUGGAUAUCAACAUUUCACAAGAAAUUUCUUCGAAACUUCCCAUGCAAAAGG
rnacentral:lncRNA from 1 species